GUGGGGAAUCUUGCGCAAUGGGCGAAAGCCUGACGCAGCCAUGCCGCGUGAAUGAUGAAGGUCUUAGGAUUGUAAAAUUCUUUCACCGGGGACGAUAAUGACGGUACCCGGAGAAGAAGCUCCGGCUAACUUCGUGCCAGCAGCCGCGGUAAUACGAAGGGGGCUAGCGUUGCUCGGAAUUACUGGGCGUAAAGGGCGCGUAGGCGGACAGCUUAGUCAGAGGUGAAAGCCCAGGGCUCAACCUUGGAAUUGCCUUUGAUACUGGCUGUCUUGAGUUUGGGAGAGGUGAGUGGAACUCCGAGUGUAGAGGUGAAAUUCGUAGAUAUUCGGAAGAACACCAGUGGCGAAGGCGACUCACUGGCCCAAUACUGACGCUGAGGCGCGAAAGCGUGGGGAGCAAACAGGAUUAGAUACCCGGGUAGUCC
rnacentral:rRNA from 1 species